rnacentral:rRNA from 1 species
UUUCUAAAAACUGAUAAAAUUCCUUCAUAUUGACUAUGCUGACUUGAGUAACGGAAAUACAAUAGAUUCAGCUAUCCAUGGUGAUAAGAUUCGUAAAUACCGGUCAUUA